rnacentral:rRNA from 1 species
GGACUACUCGGGUUUCUAAUCCUGUUUGCUCCCCGCGCUUUCGUGCCUCAGCGUCAGUUACAGUUUAGUGAGCUGCCUUCGCAAUCGGUGUUCUGUGUCAUAUCUAAGCAUUUCACCGCUACAUGACACAUUCCGCCCACUUCAAAUGUACUCAAGACCGUCAGUAUCAAUGGCCAUUUCCAUGUUAGGCAUGGAGCUUUCACCACUGACUUAACAGCCCGCCUACGCACCCUUUAAACCCAAUAAAUCCGGAUAACGCUUGGGACCUUCGUAUUACCGCGGCUGCUGGCAC